UGUGUUCUUUGCAUUUUGUAACUGCUGACUAUGAAAGAGGCCUCAGGUCAGAACUGCUUAAGUUGCCUCCGCAGUAUUCUGCCAUGAAGCUGCUACCUACAUCAGUCCCAUCCAGGAACCUGACUCGUCCUCCAAGAGUCACAACACCAAGGAGUGGUGCUGCUACACAGAGGUGGAGAGGAAGAUGAGUCAAGGCAGGUGCAAGAAGAAGGAGAACAAGCAGCUCCCAAAGACUCAUCACUCCAAGCAGAAGAAUGCCUGCAUUCAGAUGCAUCUGUACAGACGAAGUGUGAGCCUUAAAAGUGUACCAGAUGCCCAGCACUUGAGGCUGAACUGGCAAGCCUGAAGAGCAAACUGGCAGAGGCCGAGGACGUCCCUGUCCCAUGCCGAGGACGUCCCUGUCCAGGCACUGUGGACGCGGCUGCGCAGUGUUGGAGACAUGACUGUUCCCACCGAGUCUUUCUUGGAACUGUGCAGGGAGCUCGAGACCUGUUUCUGUGCCUACCAUGCGAUGCACCCCGAUGGGCUCAGUCGAGAGCGCGGCGUCAUCCGCAACGCCACCCGUAUGAUGGCCGAGAAAUAUUCGCGGGGCGUGCAGUGUGCCAAAAUCCUGAAAGUGUUCGUUCGUGUGCGAACCUUUAUCCGCCUGCGAACAGUGAACUCGACUCGACGUGCGGAG